ACAGCAGUAGCCGCGGUAAUACGUAUGUCACAAGCGUUAUCCGGAUUUAUUGGGCGUAAAGCGCGUCUAGGUGGUUAUGUAAGUCUGAUGUGAAAAUGCAGGGCUCAACUCUGUAUUGCGUUGGAAACUGUGUAACUAGAGUACUGGAGAGGUAAGCGGAACUACAAGUGUAGAGGUGAAAUUCGUAGAUAUUUGUAGGAAUGCCGAUGGGGAAGCCAGCUUACUGGACAGAUACUGACGCUAAAGCGCGAAAGCGUGGGUAGCAAACAGGAUUAGAUACCCCUGUAGUCCCUGUCUCUUAUACC
rnacentral:rRNA from 1 species